rnacentral:rRNA from 1 species
AAAUAUCCAUAGAUUAGAGACACUGGAAUGUUCUUUAGUCGAAAGUUCUGGCGCCUUAGGAUGGAUCUGCGGUCGAUUAGGUUGUUGUUGGGGUAACGGCCCAACAAGCCUGUAAUCGAUACGGGUUGUGGGAGCAAGAGCCCGGAGAUGGAAUCUGAGACACGAUUCCAGGCCCUACGGGGCGCAGCAGGCGCGAAAACUUUACAAUGCAGGAAACUGUGAUAAGGGAACUCCGAGUGCCCGUAUACGCGGGCUGUCCAGGUGUUUAAAAAUCAUCUGAAGAAAGGGCCGGGCAAGACCGGUGCCAGCCGCCGCGGUAAUACCGGCGGCUCGAGUGGUGGCCACUAUUAUUGGGCUUAAAGCGUCCGUAGCUGGACCGAUAAGUCUCUUGGGAAAUCCGCCGGCUCAACCGGCGGGCGUCUAAGGGAUACUGUUAGUCUGGGGACCGGGAGAGGUGAGAGGUACUCCGGGGGUAGGAGUGAAAUCCUGUAAUCCCCGGGGGACCACCGAUGGCGAAGGCAUCUCACCAGAACGGCUCCGACAGUGAGGGACGAAAGCUGGGGGAGCGAACCGGAUUAAAUACCCGGGUAGUCCCAGCCGUAAACUAUGCGCGUUAGGUGU